rnacentral:lncRNA from 1 species
GCUGGUUAAUUCUGGAGUUUAAAUUCUUUUCACGCUUUGUGUUACAGAAACUGCAAGACACAUUAAGAAGCUGAUGAAGAUAAUCUAUGAAGACAAAAAGAACUGAAAGAGUAAUUCUGUGUGAUGGUGAAAUAGAACCAGACAGGAAACCAGCUAAGAGAAUUUCUCAGAUAUUUCAGUCUUCUGUUAGAGCRUUUAUAGAGGCAAUGUUUGACUGCAAGAUGUGUUCAGAGUUCAGCGCUGGGUCAGCUAGAUGGAGAACUACGGCAGAAUCCACAAUUUGCAGGUAAAAUUAUCCAUAACUGAUGUAGUGAAUACAAUUAAUGUCAGCUGUGAAACUGCAAACUAAG